ACUGUCUUGUUUCAGCCUGUCUGCCAAACUCAAAUUGUUUCAUUGCCAUAUCUGAGCACAUCUUUGGAGCUAAAAUGGUGUGAUUCGGAUGAGAUAUUGCUUAAGACGCUGAGCCCUGCUAGGUGUUUGGUGUGUGAUUCCCAUUGCUCUGGCCAGGCAGUCAUGGGAUUAUUCUUCACCAUUUCCUUUUUUCUAGGUGUACGUGGUUGGGAAUGAACCUUUAACAGUUUUGAUGGAUUCCCUGCUUCCAGUCCUGGGAGUGCUUUUUCUUCUCUACUGUUUUGCUAAGAAGAGUGUGUCUCACAUAAGGUCACUUUGCCAAGAAGUCUUAUUAUGGAUUCUGGGGAAGCUGGAAAGGAAGAAGGCAAUUGCCAGCCUGAAAGGAUUUGCAGGGUUGGACAAAGCUGUGCCCUCUCUCCAUUCUCUGUGUCAGUUUAGAGCUGCCACUCAAGGUGGCAUUAUGAUUACCAUCAAAGAGGCCAUUAGUGAUGAAGAUGAAGAUGAAGCGCUGUACCAGAAGGUAUCCUCAGAGCAGGGCCGGGUGGAGCAUCUCGGGGACUUGCUGUCCCACUGCCAG
rnacentral:sRNA from 1 species